rnacentral:rRNA from 1 species
CCUACGGGAGGCAGCAGUGGGGAAUAUUGGACAAUGGGGGAACCCUGAUCCAGCGACGCCGCGUGGGUGAAGAAGGCCUGCGGGUUGUAAAGCCCUUUCGGUAGGGACGAAAGCUCUCGACCUAACACGUCGGGAGGAUGACUUAACCUACAAAAGAAGCACCGGCUAACUCUGUGCCAGCAGCCGCGGUAAUACAGAGGGUGCGAGCGUUAAUCGGAAUUACUGGGCGUAAAGGGCGCGUAGGCGGUGCGUGGAGUCAGCUGUGAAAGCCCUGGGCUUAACCUGGGAAUGGCAGUUGAGACUGGCGUGCUGGAGUGCGACAGAGGACGGUGGAAUUCCCGGUGUAGCGGUGAAAUGCGUAGAGAUCGGGAGGAACACCGAUGGCGAAGGCAGCCGUCUGGGUCGACACUGACGCUGAGGCGCGACGGCGUGGGGAGCAAACAGGAUUAGAUACCCUGGUAGUCCACGCGGUAAACGUUGGACACUAGGUAUGGGGGGUAUCGACCCUCUCCGUGCCGAAGUUAACGCUUUAAGUGUCCCGCCUGGGGACUACGGCCGCAAGACUAAAACUCAAAGGAAUUGACGG